rnacentral:lncRNA from 1 species
CAGUUCACCAAAACCAUGGCUAAAAAUGGUUAAGAACUUGUCAGUCUUCCUCAGGGGUCCUCUCUUUGCAGAAGCACUGAGACCACAGAGGCAAGAGCUGGGGAAGGAAAACUGCCCAUGAGAUGAGAUGUGCCUCUCAGCUUCCAAAAUCGGGGAGGGUUGCAAAGGGAUGACACCAUCCACACCAGAACUGCAUGAAUGGCAUCAGGAAUGAUCAGAGACCAUAAAUUCCAGUGAGACCAAUAACACCAUUUCUGGUCCUGCAUGCUCUUCCAAACUUUGCCACUAACCCCUUCAAGAGGUACAGUCUAUUUCCCUUUCUCUUGAAAUUGGGUAGGCCUUUGGGACUCCCUUGAUAAACAGAAUACAACAGAAAUGACACUGUGUAUCUAACAAGGCUAGGUUAGAAAAGGCAACAGAACUUCAUCCUAAUCUCUCUCAAGAUGCCCCCCAUGGAAUCCAGCCAUCAUGCUGUGAGGAAUCCAAGCAGCUACAUAGAAAGGCCACAACUAGAUAUUCCAGCUGUAGUCAGCUGAAGCUCCAGCCAACAGCCAACAUCAACCACCACACGUGAAAACGAGCAAGCCUUCAGAUGAUUCCGACUCCCAACCUCCAAGCCACCUCAGCUGAAGCCAAGUAGAGCAGAGACUAGCUGUCCC